rnacentral:rRNA from 1 species
UACGUAGGGGGCGAGCGUUGUCCGGAGUUACUGGGCGUAAAGGGCACGCAGGCGGUGCGGCGCGUUUCGCGUGACAGCGGGUGGCUUAACUGCCCGAGGAUGCGAAAGACGGCGGCACUUGAGGGCCAGAGAGGGACACGGAAUUCCGGGUGGAGUGGUGAAAUGCGUAGAGAUCCGGAGGAACACCGAAGGCGAAGGCAGUGUCCUGGCUGGUGACUGACGCUGAGGUGCGAAAGCUAGGGGAGCGAACGGG